rnacentral:lncRNA from 1 species
AGGGGGGAAGAUGAGGAAAGGAGAAUGGGGAGAGAGGAAAGGAGAGAAGGGAGGGAGGGAGGGAAAAAAAUGAGAGGGGAAAGAGAAGGAAAGAAGUGCAGAAAAAGAAGGAAAAAAGGAGAAGGAAAAGGAGAGUAAAAAAGAUGGGGAAGAGCAGAAAGGGAAGGGGGAAAGAGAUAGAAGGGGAAAGAGGUGAGGAAAGAAGGGGGAAAGAGAAAAAAAUAGGGGAAAGAGAGAAAAAACCGAGGUGCGUGUAGCUGUGCAGUGGCAGCCUCGGGAGGGGGAAGAAGAGAGGGUGCUGGAGUGAUGCUGAGCAAUGCCAGCUGUGCCCAGCCCGGAGCAGCCAGUGAGCCCCUCUGCCUGUCCCCGGGCUGUGUCACACGGCGGGCAGCACUCAAAGCACGAUUCAUUUCAUUUCCCAUCCGUGAGGCACAACAAAUAACUCUGUCUGAUCCUGCAAUCCUUAUUUGA